UAUCGCUCACUCUCUCUCCCUCUCUCAUGUAAUUCUCUGUAUACAAAUUUCUCCUGUCUCUCCGAUAUAUGCCUUCUCAUUCCUGCAUUUUAUUUCAUUCUAGCAAGCUUCACCUUUACAUUUUGCUUUGUGAUUGUCCUCUGCAGGUUUGAAUGGAGCGCACUAGGAGGAGUUUGGUGGUGGUUGAGGGGAUUCUGAGAUGAAUUCAUUGAAGGAGUCAUCGAUCAGUAAGGUAUUUAUAGUUACAAUAAUAUUUUACGGGUACAACACCUCCAUGACUGUGUUUUGCCAAUUUUAGACUUUAAUCCGUUGCUUCUAUUCCAGGAUUUAGAAGAAUGGAACCUGAAUGGCCAUGAAAGUAAGUUUUAAAUUUUAUCUACCUUUUUGUUUCUUUAUUUUCAUGAAAUCAACAUUUAUACACUUUUGUGUCUUGCUAUUAUUGAAAUUCCUUUUGAAUCUGGUCCAAGAAGCAAGCACCUAUAGAAGGAAGUGAUCAUAGAUUUAGGUGGAGAUUAUUUGAUAAGACAGAAAGAAACUGCAAGUGCGAGAAGAAGAGUUUGACAUAUUCAGUUUGCUUAAUGUAAGUUUUAAAUUGGGGUUUUUAAACUUAGUGUUCUUUCUUCUCCAGUUGCUGAAUCUAACAACGUUGAGAUUCUUUUGCAGGGCUCAUUGGCAAAUUAAGGUAUUUUUUAUUGUACUUUUAAUUUUUGAUUAGUUUGCUAUUUCUUUUUUUAUUGCUUUUAUGAUUCUUAACUUUAAUAUGAUAUCAUGCUAUUUCUAUUCUUGCUUAAUAAUUCUAAGUCUCAGUAUACUCUUACAUAUAUCUUGACCUAUUUUAUUGUUAACAUUUUAAAUUUGUUUAUCAAAUUGAAGUUUUUGUAAUUACAGAAAUAUGGACUACUCAAAUUCAACUUAAUCAAUGAGUUAAUUUCAUUAAAAAAAAAUUACCAUUAGUGACAAUAGUUGUAUAUUUGUGAACCAUCUAUGAUAUUUGCAUCAUGUUAUACAGUUUUUAUGAUCUCUUAUCCACUUUAAUGAUUUGUACCUUUUGGAAUGAUCUAGGACAUAUUGCUCUGUUAUUGGCAUUUGGAAGUACUUAUGUAGUUUUAUGGCAUUUGGAAUGUUUUUAUGGUCUUCUAUUGGAUUCAUAUUAUGUAGUUUUAAGUAUGCUUUUCAUAAGUUUAAUAAAAUACUGACAUAACUUGAAACUGAUAUGCUUCACGAGGCUAUCAAAGAAACGAAUUACUCAUUUUUCAUGUCCUAUGUAUAAGCAAUCGGUUUCUCUAUAAAAUUUAAAUUGAUGUCCUUGGCUAAUUGAUAUUUUAUUCUUUAGCUUCAUUUUGGAAAUGGUAAUUGAUGUACUUGGCUAAAUUGAUGUGCAAAUUUUUGAAAGAAAAUAUUGUUGAAAAAUGAAUAUGCAAAUUUUUUAGCAUAGUUUAUUUGAUCUUUAUAUGCUGCAGAGCCUCUCUUGCAGAAAGUUGAAGCAACAUAUCAUUUUCACUUGAAGUUUCAGCUUAAUUGGCUCUUCAUUCUUUCUAACCACUGUUUCUUAAUUGUUGUGUUAUAUGGUAGCAAUGUUACUUGCAAGAUAACAAUUGUGGAAGAAGGCAGUAUCAAUCCUAUCUUGAAGUUUCAGCCUUGGAAUAAAUUUUUUUAAUUUAUUUUCUCAAUGUAUGAUGUAAUGUUAGAGAAUGAUAUGGUUGUUUUGGUAACAUACAAUAGCUCUUAACUUUCUUGGCAAUGACAUCUUAAAGAAGGAAAUGUAGUGAAUAACAUUUGUGUUAGAAUUCAUAUUGAUUAAUAUUUCUAUUGUUCUUUGUGCAAAAUAUAAUUCAAAGAUAUAAAAAUUAAUUAGAAAUACA
rnacentral:lncRNA from 1 species